rnacentral:tRNA from 1 species
GCACCUCUAGCUCAACUGGAUAGAGCACCUGUCUACGGAACAGGAGGUUACAGGUUCGAAUCCUGUGAGGUGUA